rnacentral:lncRNA from 1 species
UCAGCAUGGACUGCGCUCUCCAAUGCCCGUGUUCUUGAGCUUCUUCCGGGACUAGACAAGUGCUUGGGAAAAGCAGAUGGUUAUCUUGAACCGGUUGAGGUAAUAAUUUGCUCCCCAAAAAGAAAAAGAGAGGGUAAAUAGUGUUGAAUAAUUGCAUCUUGAUGAGUAUUGACUAGAAAAAUUGGGUAAAUUGAUUGGCAGGAAAACGAGGCAGUCCUAGAGGCGUACCUGAAGUCAUGGACUUGUGGAGCCCUGGACAGAGCUGCGGCGCGAGGAUCAGUAGCCUUUGCAGUUGUUGUGCAUCAUUUAUCAUCUGUAGU